rnacentral:rRNA from 1 species
GAGUUUGAUCCUGGCUCAGGAUGAACGCUAGCUACAGGCUUAACACAUGCAAGUCGAGGGGCAGCAUGGUCUUAGCUUGCUAAGGCCGAUGGCGACCGGCGCACGGGUGAGUAACACGUAUCCAACCUGCCGUCUACUCUUGGACAGCCUUCUGAAAGGAAGAUUAAUACAAGAUGGCAUCAUGAGUCCGCAUGUUCACAUGAUUAAAGGUAUUCCGGUAGACGAUGGGGAUGCGUUCCAUUAGAUAGUAGGCGGGGUAACGGCCCACCUAGUCUUCGAUGGAUAGGGGUUCUGAGAGGAAGGUCCCCCACACUGGUACUGAGACACGGACCAGACUCCUACGGGAGGCAGCGGUGAGGAAUAUUGGUCAAUGGAGGCAACUCUGAACCAGCCAUGCCGCGUGAAGGAUGACGGCCCUAUGGGUUGUAAACUUCUUCUAUAUGGGAAGAAACUUAUCUACGUGUAGAUAACUGACGGUACCAUACGACUAAGGAUCGGCUAACUCCGUGCCAGCAGCCGCG